GUUUUAAUUUCAUCAUUCGCCGCCUGAAGAGACAAGAUGGCGGAGCUUGCGAAAUCGAAAAUUGGUACUUCAAAGUCAAUGGUUGAUCAUGAUGACCAUCUUUUAUUUAAUGGAGAAAGAAACCAAUAUUUGCAGCUGGACAGGCUGUCACCACAGUUCAAUGAUUUAGUUAAGACAAUGAAAUAGAAGAACUCAACACUUGCACCAGUGGAAGUACUUCUUAUUGGAUAGAGAACUUUUCAAGGUCAGACAUGAGCUUUUGAAGUUGCAGUUGCUUUCUUGGCGCAUCAUGCUGUCCAGUGGAGUUCAUACCAUAUGCCAGGCCUUUAUACAUGGUCAAAGAAGAUGAAUUUGUUAUUCAAUUUGUGAAAUUUGAUUUAGCGAGGACUUUCAUAUAUGAUGAUUAUAUUCAGCAGAUUAUCUUCAAGUGUGCACUUUAUAGAAUCACAGUUUCUAGGAGGUUUUCAGUUUAAAGUUAGAUUAAUUGAAAAAUAAGGGGAGCUAUCAUACUCACCAUGGUAUCAACAUUGGCAUUACACCAGGUUUAAGUUUUUCUUACCAGUCCAUAAUUUAAAAGGACCUUUUUACAGUAUUGAAACUUACAACAGUAAUGUAUCAUCAUUUUACCAAGUUUUAGGCAAGAGUACAUAACUCCAUCAAGGAUUUGACUUAACUAUGGCCCUUUGAAACUUUUGUCACUUGUUUAUAAUAAUAGUCUCUCUACAUAGGCAAGAGUUCAUAACACUGUAGAGUAUUUUGGAUGAAUUAUGUCCCUUUUGGACUUUGAAAUUGGUUCAGUUUUUGUACAAGUCCACAUUUUGACAAAACAUUUUGACAUAUAGCUUUCAACACUAAGUCUUACCAUUACAAUAAAAUAAC
rnacentral:lncRNA from 1 species